UUUGCACCAAAAUCAGAAAAAAAGGAAGAGAGGGAGACUUGGGCGAUUUUCGAUGGGAAAUCCGACCUCGCCCUGACCGCCGUCCACCGUCGCCGGCACCUGCGCCCGCCACCUGCGCCCGCCACCGUACACGGUGGCCGGAAAGGUAAAAAUUUUAUUUUAUUUUUUGAUUUUUUUAUUUUUUUUGAAUAUAUGUGUAUAUAUAUGUAAAUUUGUAAAAAAAGGAGAAAUAAAGAAUUUUUGAGAGCUAAUAAAUUAAAAAAAGGAAAUAAAGGAGAUAGAAGAUUGCUCACUUUUAAUCUGUUUUUUUUUAAUCUGCCGUAUGUUUUUUGUUUUGAUCUCACUGUUUUAUUUGUUUGAAUCAAAUAUGUAGAGAUUUGUUGUUUGUUUUAGGUAAAAAUCUCUUGUGUUUUAUUCAUCCUCUCCCCCCACAUACAUUAGAUGAUUAGGGCUUUUAUAGCCAAAUACAAAGUGGUCAUGUUUCUGCUAUUUAGUUGCGUAUUGCCUUCCCUUCUCUGUCUUUUCUUGUUUUUGUGUUUGCAGGCGUGGUGGGUGGCGGACAUGACUGGGCAGUGGCCAGUGGUGAGGUUCAGCGCCGCAGUCAGUGCAAGUGUCUAGGGUUAGGUAUUUUUGUUUUUUCUAUUUUGGGUUUGGAUUGUAUUAGGCUUGCUGUUGGGUUUUGGGUUUUUAAUGUGUUGGGUUUUGGGGUUUAAUGUAAAUGGGUUUUGGGAUUUAAUGUCAAUGGGUUUUGGGGUUGGGCUUGGUUGUUGGGCUCGGGUAAAUUGUAAACGGGCCAAAAUUGGCCUACAACAAGCAUAAAAUUGUUAAUAAAAUAUUUAAAAUAAUUAAGUUAUUAUUAUAAAUAAUGACAUUUUUUUGGUACUAUUUUUCAAGUUAGUCUUAUCAUUCAAGUUCUGGGUUUGUGACUGUCUCUAUCAAUAAUGUCGUCUUCAGAGUUCAAAUUUACGUUAUUUGCUUAAGAGUGCAAUGUAUCUUAUCACUGCACCCAACACUUGUUGGUAUGAUA
rnacentral:lncRNA from 1 species